GUGCACACUUCUACAGCACAUAUACUAAAAUUGAAGGAUACAGAGAUUAGCAUGGCCCCUGCACAAGGAUGUCAUGCAAAUUCAUGAAACAUUCCUUAUUUUC
ensembl:snRNA Gm24765 U6 spliceosomal RNA